rnacentral:rRNA from 1 species
AGCGUACACGGUGGAUGCCUAGGCAGUCAGAGGCGAUGAAGGGCGUGCUAAUCUGCGAAAAGCGUCGGUAAGGUGAUAUGAACCGUUAUAACCGGCGAUACCCGAAUGGGGAAACCCAGUGUGUUUCGACACACUAUCAUGUCAUGAAUACAUAGUGGCAUGAGGCGAACCGGGGGAACUGAAACAUCUAAGUACCCCGAGGAAAAGAAAUCAACCGAGAUUCCCCCAGUAGCGGCGAGCGAACGGGGAGGAGCCCAGAACCUGAAUCGGCUUGUGUGUUAGUGGAAGCGUCUGGAAAGUCGCGCAGCAAAGGGUGAUAGCCCCGUACACUAAAAUGCACAGGUCGUGAGUUCGAUGAGUAGGGCGGGACACGUGACAUCCUGUCUGAAUAUGGGGGGACCAUCCUCCAAGGCUAAAUACUCCUGACUGACCGAUAGUGAACCAGUACCGUGAGGGAAAGGCGAAAAGAACCCCGGCGAGGGGAGUGAAAUAGAACCUGAAACCGUGUACGUACAAGCAGUGGGAGCACCUUCGUGGUGUGACUGCGUACCUUUUGUAUAAUGGGUCAGCGACUUAUAUUUUGUAGCAAGGUUAACCGUAUAGGGGAGCCGUAGGGAAACCGAGUCUUAACUGGGCGAUUAGUUGCAAGGUAUAGACCCGAAACCCGGUGAUCUAGCCAUGGGCAGGUUGAAGGUUGGGUAACACUAACUGGAGGACCGAACCGACUAAUGUUGAAAAAUUAGCGGAUGACUUGUGGCUGGGGGUGAAAGGCCAAUCAAACCGGGAGAUAGCUGGUUCUCCCCGAAAGCUAUUUAGGUAGCGCCUCGUGAACUCAUCUUCGGGGGUAGAGCACUGUUUCGGCUAGGGGGCCAUCCCGGCUUACCAAACCGAUGCAAACUCCGAAUACCGAAGAAUGUUAUCACGGGAGACACACGGCGGGUGCUAACGUCCGUCGUGAAGAGGGAAACAACCCAGACCGCCAGCUAAGGUCCCAAAGUCAUGGUUAAGUGGGAAACGAUGUGGGAAGGCAUAGACAGCCAGGAUGUUGGCUUAGAAGCAGCCAUCAUUUAAAGAAAGCGUAAUAGCUCACUGGUCGAGUCGGCCUGCGCGGAAGAUGUAACGGGGCUAAACCAUGCACCGAAGCUGCGGCAGCGACGCUUAGGCGUUGUUGGGUAGGGGAGCGUUCUGUAAGCCGUUGAAGGUGGCCUGUGAGGGUUGCUGGAGGUAUCAGAAGUGCGAAUGCUGACAUAAGUAACGAUAAAGCGGGUGAAAAGCCCGCUCGCCGGAAGACCAAGGGUUCCUGUCCAACGUUAAUCGGGGCAGGGUGAGUCGACCCCUAAGGCGAGGCUGAAAAGCGUAGUCGAUGGGAAACAGGUUAAUAUUCCUGUACUUGGUGUUACUGCGAAGGGGGGACGGAGAAGGCUAGGCUAGCCGGGCGACGGUUGUCCCGGUUUAAGCGUGUAGGGGGUGUGACCUGGUAAAUCCGGUUGCAUGCUAACCCUGAGGCGUGAUGACGAUGCACUACGGUGCAGAAGUAGUUGAUGCCCUGCUUCCAGGAAAAUCCUCUAAGCUCCAGGUAACAUUAAAUCGUACCCCAAACCGACACAGGUGGUCAGGUAGAGAAUACCAAGGCGCUUGAGAGAACUCGGGUGAAGGAACUAGGCAAAAUGGUGCCGUAACUUCGGGAGAAGGCACGCUGGCAUGUAGGUGAAGUCCCUCGCGGAUGGAGCUGAAGCCAGUCGAAGAUACCAGCUGGCUGCAACUGUUUAAUAAAAACACAGCACUGUGCAAACACGAAAGUGGACGUAUACGGUGUGACGCCUGCCCGGUGCUGGAAGGUUAAUUGAUGGGGUCAGCCGCAAGGCGAAGCUCUUGAUCGAAGCCCCAGUAAACGGCGGCCGUAACUAUAACGGUCCUAAGGUAGCGAAAUUCCUUGUCGGGUAAGUUCCGACCUGCACGAAUGGCGUAAUGAUGGCCAGGCUGUCUCCACCCGAGACUCAGUGAAAUUGAACUCGCUGUGAAGAUGCAGUGUACCCGCGGCAAGACGGAAAGACCCCGUGAACCUUUACUAUAGCUUGACACUGAACAUUGAGCCUUGAUGUGUAGGAUAGGUGGGAGGCUUUGAAGCGUGGACGCCAGUCUGCGUGGAGCCAUCCUUGAAAUACCACCCUUUAAUGUUUGAUGUUCUAACUCGGCCCCGUAAUCCGGGGUGAGGACAGUGUCUGGUGGGUAGUUUGACUGGGGCGGUCUCCUCCCAAAGAGUAACGGAGGAGCACGAAGGUUAGCUAAUCACGGUCGGACAUCGUGAGGUUAGUGCAAAGGCAUAAGCUAGCUUGACUGCGAGAGUGACGGCUCGAGCAGGUACGAAAGUAGGUCUUAGUGAUCCGGUGGUUCUGAAUGGAAGGGCCAUCGCUCAACGGAUAAAAGGUACUCCGGGGAUAACAGGCUGAUACCGCCCAAGAGUUCAUAUCGACGGCGGUGUUUGGCACCUCGAUGUCGGCUCAUCACAUCCUGGGGCUGAAGUAGGUCCCAAGGGUAUGGCUGUUCGCCAUUUAAAGUGGUACGCGAGCUGGGUUUAGAACGUCGUGAGACAGUUCGGUCCCUAUCUGCCGUGGGCGUUGGAAGAUUGAGAGGGGUUGCUCCUAGUACGAGAGGACCGGAGUGAACGCACCACUGGUGUUCGGGUUGUCAUGCCAAUGGCAUUGCCCGGUAGCUAAGUGCGGAAAAGAUAAGCGCUGAAAGCAUCUAAGCGCGAAACUUGCCUCAAGAUGAGUCUUCCCUGGGCCUUCAAGGCCCCUGAAGGAACGUUUAAGACUAAGACGUUGA